rnacentral:rRNA from 1 species
GACGAACGCUGGCGGCGUGCCUAAUACAUGCAAGUCGAGCGGAUUUUUAGGAGCUUGCUCCUAAAAGUUAGCGGCGGACGGGUGAGUAACACGUGGGCAACCUGCCUAUAAGACUGGGAUAACUUCGGGAAACCGGAGCUAAUACCGGAUAAUUCAUAUCUACUCAUGUAGAUAUGCUGAAAGACGGUUUACGCUGUCGCUUAUAGAUGGGCCCGCGGCGCAUUAGCUAGUUGGUGAGGUAACGGCUCACCAAGGCGACGAUGCGUAGCCGACCUGAGAGGGUGAUCGGCCACACUGGGACUGAGACACGGCCCAGACUCCUACGGGUGGCUG